CAACAGACAUCUCGAGGUGACGUCAGGCAGACAUCGUGAGGUGACGUCAGCAGACAUCGUGACGUCAGCAGACAUCGUGUGACGUCAGCAUCUCGAGGUGACGUCAGGCAGACAUCGUGAGGUGACGUCAGCAGACAUCGUGACGUCAUGAAGUCGGGCAGCAUCGUGGGUGGCGUCGAUGUGAUGCGGGCAGCAGACCACAGCAUGAGGCCUGGGACAUCUGGUAACUCACGUGGCUUUGUAGGUCUACAUGACAUCGGCCACACCCAACGUGGUGUCGUGAUCUACGUGGGAUGCUGAUCCACGCAGCUUCGAGUGGCCUCGGGCACUCGGAUACACAGCACUGGCAAAGAA